rnacentral:rRNA from 3 species
UUGGAGUCUGCAACUCGACUCCAUGAAGUCGGAAUCGCUAGUAAUCGUGGAUCAGAAUGCCACGGUGAAUACGUUCCCGGGCCUUGUACACACCGCCCGUCACACCAUGGGAGUGGGUUGCAAAAGAAGUAGGUAGCUUAACCUUCGGGAGGGCGCUUACCACUUUGUGAUUCAUGACUGGGGUGAAGUCGUAACAAGGUAACCGUAGGGGAACCUGCGGUUGGAUCACCUCCUUA